rnacentral:lncRNA from 1 species
CUCGGAGACCAGUGCCGCUGCCUUUCCUGCUCUAGCCCCAGUCCUGCAGAUUAUCCCAGGAGGAAAUCCCUGGGACCGGUACCAGAGACUCCAGGGAAGAAGCUCCUACAGGAGGCGGGCAACAUGAACUCGAACCUGGAACAGACGCCAAAACCAUCGCCAGUGCCCAGGUCAAUGGGGAGGGGGAGGGUCCCAGACUUAGUGGCUGGACACUCAGGGCCCUGAUGCCCGGUCCUGUGUGGCCACUGGGGGAAAUGGCUGUAAGCCUGUGUCCCUAAAGGCUGUGUCACCUAAGAUUUGUGUAAAUAGGUGUCAUCAGGGCUGCUGUGGAACAUUCUAGACUGGAACUUCUACAAUGGGAGAUGGGUCCUCCCAGGUAUGUUCACUUGGAAGAAUCAGGAGGGAUGUGACAGUCACCAGGCACAGAUGCCAUCAGGGCCUGAGGGAGCAUGAGGAUCUGGGCCUCACUGUCACCCCUGAGUGGGGACCAGGGUGUGUGGUCCUGCCCACUCACCUCAGCAGGGGCCAUUGCUGGUUGUCAGUAGGGAACUGGGCUUCCCACCACCCCCUUGCAGGGCAGAGGAGGAUCUGGAACCUUCCCCUAGAGUCAGACAGUGGAGGAAGCAGGUGAGUUAGGAGAUGGAGGUGGGAGCACUUGGUUGAUGGGCAGCCAGGAGGCACCCAGGCUCUGAGUGCUGCAGCUGACAGUGGUCAGAGUGGUCCUCUGGGAAUCCAGCCUUGUCCCUGCAAAUGUUCAUGAACUUCCCACCUCUGUGCUCCUCAGUUCCCUUCCUGAGCUCCUAGCCACAGCCACCCUCACAGCUGAGGCCCUGGGUCCUACACCAGCACUUUGUCCCCAUCUCACUGUGCAGCUCUGUGUGGCUGCCCACCUCUCUCCUACCCCAGGUCUUCUGAGUGGCUGCCUUACACCCCUGUCCACACCAUUGUAAAUGACCAGCUGAAGGCAGAGUCCUUCUUCCUGGUAGGUUGUGAAACUGGCACUGAGGCCCCUGAGUCCUGAUUAUCAGUGAGUCCCCAGGAGGUGGCAGUAGCUGAGCACAGCUGGAGAGCCAGGGAGUGGGGGUGAGUGGGACCUAGGAAUGACUGAACUUGCUAGUGUAGAUGGCAGGUGGCUUGUGCUGUGGGAACAGGGAAUUUAAUGGGAAAUGUGAGGUGUUUUCUUAUUUCUUAGUUUUGGGGGUUUGGAGCUGCAGGUUCCCCUGAAUGUCACUGUCAACCUCAGUGCUAUACAUGCAUGGCAAGACUUCAGGUUCCACACUCUGAUGCAGGUUGGUACUGGGAGCACCAUCAGCCUGGCCCAGGGACCCUCUGCAUGUGCAGCUGCUGCAGACAGCUGUGCUCUCUGUUGAGAAUAGAGCUUCUUCCUCCUUGGGGGUCAGAACUUGGGUCUGUGUUGCCCGACCCUCCCAGCAGACCCACACGUCUCCCCCUCUCAGUCCUCACAGAAGUCCAUGAGCUGACUGCCCAGGGGCAUCGUACCUGUCAUUUGCUGUGUGCUUCUGAUACCUUCCUGGCACAAGAUCCUGCAGGUACCCCGAGGGGAGGGUGUGUGUGUGUGUGUGUGUGUGUGUGUGUGUUUGGCACCUGCACAGGAGUGUGCUAUCAGGGUGUGGGAAUUUUAAAAUCAUUCAAAAUAUAUUUGUUUUUUUUUUCAAAAUGUCAACAGUUUUUACUAAGCAAAUAAAUAUAGUUAUUUAUGUAUAUUUAUUAAUCAAAUAAUAUAAU